rnacentral:rRNA from 1 species
UACGUAGGGGGCUAGCGUUGUCCGGAAUCAUUGGGCGUAAAGAGCGUGUAGGCGGCUCGGUAAGUCCGCUGUGAAAGUCGGGGGCUCAACCCUCGAAUGCCGGUGGAUACUGUCGAGCUAGAGUGCGGAAGAGGCGAGUGGAAUUCCUGGUGUAGCGGUGAAAUGCGCAGAUAUCAGGAAGAACACCUAUGGCGAAGGCAGCUCUCUGGGACGGUACUGACGCUGAGACGCGAAAGCGUGGGGAGCGAACAGG